AUCUAAACCUGAUCGAAGUGGUUCCGAUUUUUCAUCGGAAAGAACGGAGAGCAGGACUGCAU
rnacentral:sRNA from 1 species